rnacentral:rRNA from 1 species
GAAUUCGGCAAAAAUAAUGUUCGCCUGUUUAACAAAAACAUGUCUUUUUGAAUUUAAUUUAAAGUCUAACCUGCCCACUGAAUUUUUAAAUGGCCGCAGUAUUUUGACUGUGCAAAGGUAGCAUAAUCAUUAGUCUCUUAAUUGGAGGCUGGAAUGAAUGGUUGGACGAAAUAUUAACUGUUUCAUUUAAAUUUUUUAUAGAAUUUUAUUUUUUAGUCAAAAAGCUAAAAUUUAUUUAAAAGACGAGAAGACCCUAUAAAUCUUUAUAUUUUUUUUUAUUUAAAUUAUAAAGAUUAAUUU